GACGUAGGGCGCGAGCGUUGUCCGGAUUUAUUGGGCGUAAAGAGCGUGUAGGCGGCCCGACAGGUCCGUUGUGAAAACUCGAGGCUCAACCUCGAGACGUCGAUGGAAACCGUCGGGCUAGAGUCCGGAAGAGGAGAGUGGAAUUCCUGGUGUAGCGGUGAAAUGCGCAGAUAUCAGGAGGAACACCGUGGCGAAGCGGCUCUCUGGACGGUACUGACACUGAGACGCGAAGCGUGGAGCGAACAGG
rnacentral:rRNA from 1 species